AUAUCACUAAGGGGAGGAAAAGAAAUUAACUAAGAUUGCCUCAGUAACGGCGAGUGAAGUGGCAAAAGCCCAAACUGGAAAUCUCCAUGUUUCACAUGGCGAAUUGUAAUCUACAGUUGGGAAACUCACCUGGUUUCGGCGCAGAAGUGUCUUAGAACGGACCGCCAGAGAGGGUGACAGCCCCGUAUGUGGUGCCGAGACCUAACGAGUUCCUUUCGAUGAGUCGGGUAGCUUUGAAAUGCUGCCCUAAGCUGGGAGAUAGACUUCUUCUAAGGCUAAAUAUUUAUGGGAGACCGAUAGCGCACAAGUA
rnacentral:rRNA from 1 species